rnacentral:rRNA from 1 species
GACGAACGCUGGCGGCGUGCUUAACACAUGCAAGUCGAACGGAAAGGCCCUGCUUUUGUGGGGUGCUCGAGUGGCGAACGGGUGAGUAACACGUGAGUAACCUGCCCUUGACUUUGGGAUAACUUCAGGAAACUGGGGCUAAUACCGGAUAGGAGCUCCUGCUGCAUGGUGGGGGUUGGAAAGUUUCGGCGGUUGGGGAUGGACUCGCGGCUUAUCAGCUUGUUGGUGGGGUAGUGGCUUACCAAGGCUUUGACGGGUAGCCGGCCUGAGAGGGUGACCGGCCACAUUGGGACUGCGAUACGGCCCGGACUCCUACGGGAGGCAGCAGUGGGGAAUAUUGCACAAUGGGCGGAAGCCUGAUGCAGCCACGCCGCGUGCGGGAUGACGGCCUUCGGGUUGUAACCCGCUUUCGCCUGUGACGAAGCGUGAGUGACGGUAAUGGGUAAAGAAGCACCGGCUAACUACGUG